rnacentral:rRNA from 1 species
GCCUACGGGGCGCAGCAGUAGGGAAUCUUCCACAAUGGGCGAAAGCCUGAUGGAGCAACGCCGCGUGGGUGAAGAAGGUCUUCGGAUCGUAAAACCCUGUUGUUAGAGAAGAUAGUGCGUGAGAGUAACUGUUCACGUUUCGACGGUAUCUAACCAGAAAGCCACGGCUAACUACGUGCCAGCAGCCGCGGUAAUACGUAGGUGGCAAGCGUUAUCCGGAUUUAUUGGGCGUAAAGAGAACGCAGGCGGUCUUUUAAGUCUGAUGUGAAAGCCUUCGGCUUAACCGGAGUAGUGCAUUGGAAACG